rnacentral:rRNA from 2 species
GUGGCUUCCGGAGCUAACGCGUUAAGUAGACCGCCUGGGGAGUACGGCCGCAAGGUUAAAACUCAAAUGAAUUGACGGGGGCCCGCACAAGCGGUGGAGCAUGUGGUUUAAUUCGAUGCAACGCGAAGAACCUUACCUGGUCUUGACAUCCACGGAAGUUUUCAGAGAUGAGAAUGUGCCUUCGGGAACCGUGAGACAGGUGCUGCAUGGCUGUCGUCAGCUCGUGUUGUGAAAUGUUGGGUUAAGUCCCGCAACGAGCGCAACCCUUAUCCUUUGUUGCCAGCGAUUCGGUCGGGAACUCAAAGGAGACUGCCAGUGAUAAACUGGAGGAAGGUGGGGAUGACGUCAAGUCAUCAUGGCCCUUACGACCAGGGCUACACACGUGCUACAAUGGCGCAUACAAAGAGAAGCGACCUCGCGAGAGCAAGCGGACCUCAUAAAGUGCGUCGUAGUCCGGAUUGGAGUCUGCAACUCGACUCCAUGAAGUCGGAAUCGCUAGUAAUCGUGGAUCAGAAUGCCACGGUGAAUACGUUCCCGGGCCUUGUACACACCGCCCGUCACACCAUGGGAGUGGGUUGCAAAAGAAGUAGGUAGCUUAACCUUCGGGAGGGCGCUUACCACUUUGUGAUUCAUGACUGGGGUGAAGUCGUAACAAGGUAACCGUAGGGGAACCUGCGGUUGGAUCACCUCCUUACCUUAAAGAA